UGAAAGCAUCUAAGUAGGAAGCCCACCUCA
rnacentral:rRNA from 20 species